rnacentral:rRNA from 1 species
UACGUAGGGUCCGAGCGUUGUCCGGAAUUACUGGGCGUAAAGAGCUCGUAGGUGGUUUGUCGCGUUAUUCGUGAAAACUCACAGCUCAACUGUGGGCGUGCGGGCGAUACGGGCAGACUGGAGUACUGCAGGGGAGACUGGAAUUCCUGGUGUAGCGGUGGAAUGCGCAGAUAUCAGGAGGAACACCGGUGGCGAAGGCGGGUCUCUGGGCAGUAACUGACGCUGAGGAGCGAAAGCGUGGGGAGCGAACAGG